rnacentral:rRNA from 1 species
CUCCUCCCCUCCCCAGACUUUAGACUUGUUCCUUCAGCCCAUCACCUCCAACUCCAAGACCAGGAGGACCUCCGUUCGUUCUCCUCCAGUUCUACUUCCCCAAAUCAAAUCAAAUCAAAUCCCAAUACACGAGAGCUAGCUCUUUCUAGAAGCGUAGCUCUACGUAUCUUUGCUGCAAGACAAGAAGCAGCACAUGCGACAAGAUUAAGGUACUCAAUUUUCAGCUCCAUGGCUUUUUAUUUCCAUCCCAAGUUCAGUAAACCCUUCCAUUGCUUCAAGACGAAACUAGCGGGGCACAAACAUCAAGUGGUCAGCUCCGUGCACCAUGAGACCUACUAGCACUGCUUUUCGAGUACUAGGCACAUGCCACUUCUUAAUUUCCAGCUCAGCUAACCCCAACUUGACACCAUUUCUGUCAUAUGCUUUGUCUCUCUUUCCCACAAAGGAACUGCCAACUCCCCUCCUUCCAUUCGCUCAAGUUGCACUCUCAUUUCUGAUUCAAAUUAUUAGUGCAGGAACAAGCGAGGCUAAUUAAAGGUGCACGUUCUGGUUCAGAUUAUCAGUGCGGCCGCUGAGCGAAGCCCAAAAGGCUCACCGUAAAGCAAGGAGCAAAGAUAGGGUAGCGUCCAUGGGCUGUGGGGCGUCGAAAUGGAAGGACCCCGGUGUUGUGCGCCGGGGGAGGCCAAGAAGCGUCGGUGAGGUGGUCGUCUUCCUCCCAGGGCUGAGGGUACCAAGAACCGUAGACUUCUCGCAGUCUCUCGCGGAUCACCUGGACAAGAGCACGGUGGAGAGGCUGUCGGCUCUAAGAGCAACGGUCGUGGCAAUGGCAAUGCAGGAAUCGGCCAUGGCCCUCAAGCCGAGGCGAAGGACGACGCGGCACGGAGGGUCUGGCACUGCUAAUCUUCUCCGGGCUUUGGAAGAGUACCUACCAGUUCUGCUAGGACUGGUGAAAGAAAGCAGUGGUCUGAGAAACAAAGUGCAGUUUGUUUGGGCUAACCAAGAGGACGAUGCUGAGGAGACAUCCAUGGCGGAUGCUUGGUAUGAGGUGCUGUCUGUGCUGCACCUUAUGGCCAUGGUGUGCUUCCUGCAGGCCAACUCUCUGCUUCUUCCGAGGUCAUACGGCGACGGCCAUGGGCCGAGGGUGUCUGAAGAGAGCAGGCGAGCCACUGUUGAUGUUUUCUUGAAAGCCGGUGGGUACUUGGAUUGUGCAAUUAAUCAAGUACUUCCGCAGAUACCGCCCGAAAAAAGAAGGGCACUCCCGGUAGAUCUAGUUGAAGGAAAUCUAAAAGCUCUUAGCUUGCAAGGACUUGGCCAGGGAGUUGAUAUGCAACUUGGAUUGGCAAUUGAUAAUCCAAAGGCCACUUUAGCAGUCAAACGACGUUUAGCUUGCGAGAUGGUCAAAUAUUGGCAGCAGAUUAAGGAUAGCAUACCGGAGCUUCCUUUGUCAGAUGGAUGGGCAAAAAAGCACACACUAUUUGUAAAGUGGAAGUAUGCUGAAGCAAAGGCUGCUGCAUACUACUUCCAUGGGUUGAUUCUUGAUGAGGGAAACACCGAGAAAUCACAGGAGAUGGCAACAUCAUCCCUACAAGCGUCAGAGGAGUUUCUGAAAGAGAGCAAAAGAGCCUCUGAGGUCUUCCAUUCGACUCCUCCGACAUCAAGGAUCUCAACUCCUUUCGGAACAACCAAACAUCUCUUGGACAUGAUCCCACAAGAGACAUUAAGCAAGCUCCAGAAUAACCAGGACCUUAACACCCAAGAAAGAACAUCAAAUACCGGAGUCAGCCGGAUCAUCACACCGCCGCCUCCAUUGCCAGAUUUCCCUUUGGCCCUAAAUCCUGAGGAAUAUGAGCUUCCCCAAUUAGACCCACUGUUGAAGAAGGAAGCUAACCACUAAUGAAGUUUCGUUACCAAGCUCAGGCAAGAAAGAAGGCCUUCUUCUAAAAGGGAUCACUCCUCCGCAGCUGAAAAAGAACAUAAAUUCUGCAACACUUUAGAGGACAAUAGUGAGAAACGAAGUCUAUUACGCCGAAUGUUAGAAAGAAAAACAAUUUUAUUAAUGUCGACCAGUUAAAAUGAAUUACCCAACAAGGUCCAAGGAUCUGAAGAGCAUUGUACAGACGGAUCUUUUCUUGUGAAUUAAUGCUUUUGUUGACAGAUUUCUAGCCACCAACUUUGCUAGAAAAGUAUAAAGUAAGCAUCCAGUAUAUCCU